rnacentral:rRNA from 1 species
GAUGAACGCUGACCGAAUGCUUAACACAUGCAAGUCAACUUGAAUUUGGGUUUUUAACUUAGGUUUGGGUGGCGGACGGGUGAGUAACGCGUAAAGAACUUGCCUCACAGCUAGGGACAACAUUUGGAAACGAAUGCUAAUACCUAAUAUUAUGAUAAUAGGGCAUCCUAUAAUUAUGAAAGCUAUAAGCGCUGUGAGAGAGCUUUGCGUCCCAUUAGCUAGUUGGAGAGGUAACGGCUCACCAAGGCGAUGAUGGGUAGCCGGCCUGAGAGGGUGAUCGGCCACAAGGGGACUGAGACACGGCCCUUACUCCUACGGGAGGCAGCAGUGGGGAAUAUUGGACAAUGGACCGAGAGUCUGAUCCAGCAAUUCUGUGUGCACGAUGAAGCUUUUCGGAAUGUAAAGUGCUUUCAGUUGGGAAGAAACAAAUGACGGUACCAACAGAAGAAGUGACGGCUAAAUACGUG